UAGUCCACGCCCUAAACGAUGCUUACUAGGAGUUUGGAUUUAUUUGAGCUUCUAAGGGAAACCGAUAAGUAAGCCACCUGGGGAGUACGUUCGCAAGAAUGAAACUCAAAGGAAUUGACGGGGUCCGCACAAGCGGUGGAGCAUGUGGUUUAAUUCGAUGAUACGCGAGGGACCUUACCUGGGCUCGAACGCUAUUGGACAGUCUAUGAAAGUAGAUUUUUCUUCGGAACCGAUAGUGAGGUGCUGCAUGGUUGUCGUCAGCUCGUGCCGUGAGGUGUUGGGUUAAGUCCCGCAACGAGCGCAACCCUUAUCUUUAGUUGCCAGCAUGUAAUGAUGGGGACUCUAAGGAGACUGCCUCCGUAAGGAGUGAGGAAGGUGGGGAUGACGUCAAAUCAUCAUGGCCUUUAUGCCCAGGGCUACACACGUGCUACAAUGGCCGUGACAAAGAGUUGCUACUUUGUGAAAACAAGCUAAUCUCAUAAAACGCGGCCUCAGUUCGGAUUGCAGGCUGAAA
rnacentral:rRNA from 1 species